UACGAAGGGGGCUAGCGUUGUUCGGAAUUACUGGGCGUAAAGCGCACGUAGGCGGCUUGGUAUGUCGGGUGUGAAAUCCCCGGGCUCAACCUGGGAACUGCAUCCGAAACUGCCUUGCUAGAGUAUGGGAGAGGGAAGUGGAAUUUCCGGUGUAGCGGUGAAAUGCGUAGAUAUCUGGAGGAACACCGGUGGCGAAGGCGCCCACCUGGCCUGCUACUGACGCUGAAGCUCGAAAGCUAGGGGAGCAAACGGG
rnacentral:rRNA from 1 species